GGCUUCUGUAGCCAUAUAACCGCUCUGCUGUUCCAGACAGCGCAUUAUGUGCAGCUGGGCCUUGAUGUGGUUCCACCUUCCCUGGCCUGUACCAGUCAACCACAGAUGUGGCAUCGACCUCGAACCCACGGAAUCCAUCCAGAGGCUGUGAGUGACCUGGUGGUGAAGAAACCCAAGUCGGUGGGGAAGACUGGAGUCAAGUCCACACUCUACAGAGCGUAUGCUGAGGGAAUAUCCAGCUUGGAGUUGGUACCAUCUCAGCUGUGCUGACCUGGAAGAUGUCAGCAAUGACCUGUUCUUUAAGGCCAGUUGCUACUCUACAACAGUAGAUGAAAAACUCAUCAAUGACUGGAAUCUUCCUUGAAGGGCGUGGUGUUGGAAUCGCCUCUUGUCCAAUCCUCUGUGCUUUGCUCCAAUAAAGAAUAUAUUGUGUUGAGGGGCAAAACAGACUCCCAAAACACUUGAAACACUUCUUGAGAUGGAAACCGAGUAUAAUAUGUCAUGGUCUGAUCAGACACACAAAACCUGUUGAGGACAGUUUGUGGCCCCAUGGACAUUUCUUGCAGCCUUGCCUCCAGCUCAGCAAUAUACUCCAGGGCAUCAUCCAGUGCACCUACAAAAAAAGAAGACAAAUAAGUCUUCAUUACCAUUCAUUCGUAUUCACCAUUUCUUUUUUAUUGUAUUGUUAUUCUGUAUACUUAAGUUUAUUUAUAUUUCUUAUCAUUAAAUUUAUUUGUACUGUUUUCUGUUUUUAUUUUUUAUGCAUUAACUAUAGGUUGAGUGUACAUAGAGUAAAAACCAAAGUCAAAUUCCUCGUUUGUUUGCAAACCUGGCCAAUAAAGCUGAAUCUGAAUUAAUA
ensembl:lncRNA